rnacentral:misc_RNA from 1 species
AUGCAAACCUGUUAAGUUGAGUGGGCCUGUGAAGCUGUUUCCAUUUGAACCCUAUUUGCAGUAGCCAUCUCAUUAUGCUGUAGACUCAACCCCGUGAAGAGAGACUUCAGUUCUAGAAUAGCUUGAGAACUUCGAGAUUUCGCUUCUUGUUGCCAUACUACAUGUCUCUGUUCCCAUUUCUGAUCCAUUUCCUGCAACAUCAAAGCAACUUCUUUUUUCCAGUCAUGAGAUCUAGUGCCCUCUGCCAUUACCGAGGAUCUGAAGCUCUGAUACGAAUGAUACGAAUCAAGAUCAAGAAUGAAGAUUAGAGAAGAAGCAGUUACAAAAUAGAGAGAAGAAAGAAAAGAGAGGGAGAGGAGGUGUGUGGGGGGCAACUAAAUGAGGGAG